rnacentral:misc_RNA from 1 species
AGAAGUGUCAACUUAUGGAAACUUUUUAAUUUGUUCGAAAAUAAAUGCAUUAUUAGUUCACUUAUCAACAAGUACAACGUAUUGAGUUCUUAUUGUGCAGUCAGCUUUGGCCUUAUUCUGGUUGAUGGACAAUAAAAUAGAGGGUAAAAAGAUUAGGGAAUAGUCUAUAAAAGAUAGACAAUAGGAAUAGAGCAAAGAGUAGUGAUUAAGAAGGAAAUG